rnacentral:lncRNA from 1 species
AGAGACAUUAAUAUGGGGGGGGGGGGUUCCAGAGACAUUAAUAUGAGGGGGGGUUCCAGAGACAUUAUUAUGAGGGGGGUUCCAGAGACAUUAAUAUGGGGGGGUUCCAUAGAAAUUAAUAUGGGGGGGUUUCAGAGACAUUAAUAUGAGGGGGGGGUUCCAGAGACAUUAAUAUGAGGAGGGGGGUUCCAGAGACAUUAAUAUGAGGAGGGGGGUUUCCAGAGACAUUAAUAUGAGGGGGGGGGUUCCAGAGACAUUAAUAUGAGGAGGGGGGGUUCUAGAGACAUUAAUAUGAGGAGGGGGGGGUUCUAGAGACAUUAAUAUGAGGAGGGGGGUUCCAGAGACAUUAAUAUGAGGAGGGGGGGUUCCAGAGACAUUAAUAUGAGGAGGGGGGGUUCUAGAGACAUUAAUAUGAGGAGGGGGGGUUCUAGAGACAUUAUUAUGAGGAGGAGGGGUUCCAGAGACAUUAAUAUGAAGAGGGGGGGAUCCAGAGACAUUAAUAUGAGGAGGGGGGUUCUAGAGACAUUAAUAUGAGGAGGGGGGGGUUCUAGACACAUUAAUAUGAGGAGGGGGGGUUCUAGAGACAUUAUUAUGAGGGGGGGUUACAGAGACAUUAUUAUGAGGAGGGGGGGGUUCUAGAGACAUUAUUAUGAGGAGGGAAGGAGGGGUUCAAGAGACAUUAUUAUGAGGAGGGGGGGGUUCCAGAGACAUUAAUAUGAGGAGGGGGGGUUCUAGAGACAUUAAUAUGAGGAGGGGGGUUCCAGAGACAUUAAUAUGAGGAGGGGGGGUUCCAGAGACAUUAAUAUGAGGAGGGGGGGUUCUAGAGACAUUAAUAUGAGGAGGGGGGGUUCUAGAGACAUUAUUAUGAGGAGGAGUGGUUCCAGAGACAUUAAUAUGAAGAGGGGGGAUCCAGAGACAUUAAUAUGAGGAGGGGGGGUUCUAGAGACAUUAAUAUGAGGAGGGGGGGGUUCUAGAGACAUUAAUAUGAGGAGGGGGGGUUCUAGAGACAUUAUUAUGAGGGGGGGGUUACAGAGACAUUAUUAUGAGGAGGGGGGGUUCCAGAGACAUUAUUAUGAGGAGGGGGGAUCCAGAGACAUUAUUAUGAGGAGGGAAGGGGGGGGUUCCAGAGACAUUAUUAUGAGGAGGGAGGGGGGGGUUCCAGAGACAUUAAUAUGAGGAGGGGAAGGGGGGGUUCCAGAGACAUUAUUAUGAGGAGGAAGGGGGGGGGUUCCAGAGACAUUAUUAAUGAGGGGGGGUUCCAGAGACAUUAAUAUGGGGGGGGGGUUCCAGAGACAUUAAUAUGAGGGGGGUUCCAGAGACAUUAAUAUGAGGGGGGAUCCAGAGAAAUUAAUAUGAGGAGGGGGGGUUCCAGAGACAUUAAUAUGAGGAGGGGGGGUUCCAGAGACAUUAAUAUGGGGGGGGGGGUUCCAGAGACAUUAAUAUGAGGAGGGGGGGUUCUAGAGACAUUAAUAUGAGGAGGGGGGGUUCCAGAGACAUUAAAGGAGGAGGGGGGGGGUUCCAGAGACAUUAAUAUGAGGAGGGGGGGGUUCUAGAGACAUUAAUAUGACGAGGGGGGGUUCUAGAGACUUUAUUAUGAGGAGGGGGGGUUCCAGAGACAUUAAUAUGAAGGGGGGGAUCCAGAGACAAUAUGAGGAGGGGGGGUUCCAGAGACAUUAAUAUGAGGAG